GGUCCCGUAGCCCAAUUGGCAGAGGCGCAGGUUUUAGGUACCUGUCAGUGUGCGUUCGAGUCGCACCGGGACCA
rnacentral:tRNA from 1 species